AUCUUGGUCCAUUAGAGGAAGUAAAAGUCGUAACAAGGUUUCCGUAGGUGAACCUGCGGAAGGAUCAUUACCGAGUGUAGGGUUCCUAGCGAGCCCAACCUCCCACCCGUGUUUACUGUACCUUAGUUGCUUCGGCGGGCCCGCCAUUCAUGGCCGCCGGGGGCUCUCAGCCCCGGGCCCGCGCCCGCCGGAGACACCACGAACUCUGUCUGAUCUAGUGAAGUCUGAGUUGAUUGUAUCGCAAUCAGUUAAAACUUUCAACAAUGGAUCUCUUGGUUCCGGCAUCGAUGAAGAACGCAGCGAAAUGCGAUAACUAGUGUGAAUUGCAGAAUUCCGUGAAUCAUCGAGUCUUUGAACGCACAUUGCGCCCCCUGGUAUUCCGGGGGGCAUGCCUGUCCGAGCGUCAUUGCUGCCCAUCAAGCACGGCUUGUGUGUUGGGUCGUCGUCCCCUCUCCGGGGGGGACGGGCCCCAAAGGCAGCGGCGGCACCGCGUCCGAUCCUCGAGCGUAUGGGGCUUUGUCACCCGCUCUGUAGGCCCGGCCGGCGCUUGCCGAACGCAAAUCAAUCUUUCCAGGUGACCUCGAUCAGGUAGUCAUAU
rnacentral:rRNA from 1 species